rnacentral:rRNA from 1 species
GAUGAACGCUGGCGGCGUGCUUAACACAUGCAAGUCGAACGGUGAACACGGAGCUUGCUCUGUGGGAUCAGUGGCGAACGGGUGAGUAACACGUGAGCAACCUGCCCCUGACUCUGGGAUAAGCGCUGGAAACGGCGACUAAUACUGGACAUGUGACGUGACCGCAUGGUCUGCGUUUGGAAAGAUUUUUGGGUUGGGGAUGGGCUCGCGGCCUAUCAGCUUGUUGGUGAGGUAAUGGCUCACCAAGGCGUCGACGGGUAGCCGGCCUGAGAGGGUGACCGGCCACACUGGGACUGAGACACGGCCCAGACUCCUACGGGAGGCAGCAGUGGGGAAUAGUGCACAAUGGGCGCAAGCCUGAUGCAGCAACGCCGCGUGAGGGAUGACGGCCUUCGGGUUGUAAACCUCUUUUGGCAGGGAAGUAGCGAAAGUGACGGUACCUGCAGAAAAAGCGCCGGCUAACUACGUG